UCGUUUGCCUGUGGCUACCCGUGGAAUCGGCGCCGCUAAGGGCGCUGCUGCUGCCGCAGGUCCGUGCGGCCGCCUUCUGCUGUGGCGGCGGCGCCGAGGCAGCGGCACGCGACGAGCAGGCGCCGGCUGCUCGCCGUCCGGGAGAAGUCGGCGUAGCGGGGGCAGAUGCUGGUAGAGUUGCUGCACGAGUCGGACCCCGUCGUGGCCUGCACCUUCGCGUAGACGCAGAGAACCAGUUACCGCUUCUCUCCCCUAGCCCAAGAACUAGAGACGACGCCCUCGCCGCUAAACCGCAAGGAAGACAGAGUCUUCCAGCCGGAUCUGCCUCUCCACUACCCACACCUAAAGAGUCCCGUCGUCGACGUUUGACGACGAUCGGCAGUCCUGGUUGCGACCUUCCGAACGAUGUUCUUGUAGUUUACCUAGCUCCCGCUACGUGAACUAAAUGGAAAGUGCCUGGCAAUGAAACUACGACAAUGCCAACCGAUACCUAACGCGUUACACCAACUGUCUGGGUUUCGUUACGCUCUCUAGGAAUCUCAGGAUUUUGGUCCUAGUGCUCGUAGACAAGACCUAAAAUUGUUCUCGAGUAGUAAAAAGUGCCGUAGGAAUGUCUCAACCCGCUAACUAUUACAGCACCAAGGAGACCGAUCAUCGAUACCUGAAUGACUUCUCAUGUUCAUGAACUUUUCAAGCUAUAGUGUCAUAGAAUGUCCUCUCCUCAACCUCUUCAAUCGGUUCCUUCGUCCCAAAAGGAGUCGGUUCGUGAUACUUGAACCACCUCCCGAGUACCCUUUGGAUCAUCGUUGCGCGACUGAUCUUUACAUCGCUACUUGCCACUAGACAUACUUAAUAGACUUAAAAUUAAAUUUAUUAAUUAAAAGGAGACGUAAUGGCUUAUACGUCAAACCGACUAUGGUUUGCCUUGGUUCGUUACGAAGUUUGGAGGGUCGACACGUAAAGAGGACGAACUUGUUCUUUUGUCGUGUGGAUGUCGUACCUCUGUAAGUCCAGUGGUACUUUAGUGUGGAUGCCGUACAUUUAGUUUUAGUGUCAAGACUUCAUGUCCGACAAGUUAGUUUCAGUGCCAAGACUUCACGUCCGCGGUGACGCGUAUGGUCCACACGACGAGACGUUGAAGACUCGUUAUUCUGACCGUUAGCCCGUAUUUUUUGUUCGUGGAGGAGCAGAAUAACCACCUUGACCCCUCCGUACCCUUACUAGUCCACUCCUGAAGUCCUAGACUUACAAAAGGGCACUUCGCGUGACGAGACUUAAGACUUAGGACAUAGGAGACGGGAGACAAAUAAGCCAGGGGUAAAACCGUCAAGUCUAGAUGUGACCUC
rnacentral:rRNA from 1 species